rnacentral:rRNA from 1 species
CCUACGGGAGGCAGCAGUGAGGAAUAUUGGUCAAUGGGCGUAAGCCUGAACCAGCCAAGUCGCGUGAGGGAUGAAGGUUCUAUGGAUCGUAAACCUCUUUUAUAAGGGAAUAAAGUGCGGGACGUGUCCCGUUUUGUAUGUACCUUAUGAAUAAGGAUCGGCUAACUCCGUGCCAGCAGCCGCGGUAAUACGGAGGAUCCGAGCUUUAUCCGGAUUUAGUGGGUUUAAAGGGUGCGUAGGCGGCCUUUUAAGUCAGCGGUGAAAGGCUGUGGCUCAACCAUAGAAUUGCCGUUGAAACUGGGAGGCUUGAGUAUGUUUGAGGCAGGCGGAAUGCGUGGUGUAGCGGUGAAAGGCUUAGAUAUCACGCAGAACCCCGAUUGCGAAGGCAGCCUGCCAAGCCAUGACUGACGCUGAUGCACGAAAGCGUGGGGAUCAAACAGGAUUAGAUACCCUUGUAGUC